ACGGCAGCACGGGAGCAAUCCUGGUGGCGAGUGGCGAACGGGUGAGUAAUGUAUCGGAACGUACCUUUCAGUGGGGGAUAACGUAGCGAAAGUUACGCUAAUACCGCAUAUUCUGUGAGCAGGAAAGCAGGGGAUCGCAAGACCUUGCGCUGAUUGAGCGGCCGAUAUCAGAUUAGCUAGUUGGUGAGGUAAAGGCUCACCAAGGCGACGAUCUGUAGCGGGUCUGAGAGGAUGAUCCGCCACACUGGAACUGAGACACGGUCCAGACUCCUACGGGAGGCAGCAGUGGGGAAUUUUGGACAAUGGGCGCAAGCCUGAUCCAGCCAUGCCGCGUGAGUGAAGAAGGCCUUCGGGUUGUAAAGCUCUUUCAGCCGGGAAGAAAACGCAUGGGUUAAUACCCUGUGUGGAUGACGGUACCGGAAUAAGAAGCACCGGCUAACUACGUGCCAGCAGCCGCGGUAAUACGUAGGGUGCGAGCGUUAAUCGGAAUUACUGGGCGUAAAGCGUGCGCAGGCGGUUUGUUAAGAUAGGCGUGAAAUCCCCGGGCUCAACCUGGGAACUGCGUUUAUGACUGGCAGGCUAGAGUAUGGCAGAGGGGGGUGGAAUUCCACGUGUAGCAGUGAAAUGCGUAGAGAUGUGGAGGAACACCGAUGGCGAAGGCAGCCCCCUGGGCCAAUACUGACGCUCAUG
rnacentral:rRNA from 1 species